rnacentral:lncRNA from 1 species
AAAAGGCCGUCGUGGAAAUUCUCCAAAAGCCUCGCUACGGUCCGAACCCCCGUAAAUAAGAAGUUCACCCACCUCUGCGUUGAUAAUUCUCCAUCAAGGCAGUCAGUUCCUCUCCCAGAAACUAGUUAUCUCCCUCUUGGAGACUAGGAAGUCAACAGAAUGGCCGUUCUAGUUCCAUCCUAGAACCAUAGAAUUUUAUAGAUGAAAGAACCUUAAGAGAUCCUUGGUCCAAACUCUUUUGAAGUAGGGCAGGGAUUCAAAGAAGUUUAACCUACCCAAGAUUGACCAGCAGAGUCCUGGUCUGUACUCCCUCGCUGCUUUUCCUUAUUGAACAACUGACCUUAUAGCAUUGCUACAUCUAUGAAGGAAGCUGAAAAGGGGGAAGAUUUUUUUUUCCUUUCUAGCCCUGUUGCUGAUACUCAGAAUACUGUCUUUACCCAACCCCUAGACCCCAAAAUCACUCAUCAAAAGGAGAGCAACCUUCCCAGGUGGCGCAGCAGU